rnacentral:lncRNA from 1 species
CAUGCGCCACCCCCGGCUAAUUUUGUAUUUUUAGUAGAGGCGGGGUUUCUCUAUGUUGGUCAGGCUGGUCUGGAAAUCCCGACCUCAGGUGAUCCGCCCGCCUCGGCCUCCCAAAGUGCUGGAAUUACAGGCUUGAGCCACCGCGCACGGCUUUGCCCGCAAGCGUUUUGAAUUUUGUGGCCCGGAAUUCACUGCGAGGACUGGGAUCACCCAUCACCCUUCCCUGGUCUACGGAAAAUGAAACGUGUUUACUGAUACAGAAACGGAAUAACGGCACUUUGGGCUGGGGAGGGCCGAGCUGCCUCAGGCUUCUGGUCUCCAGCUGCGCGGCACUCACACCUGCCGCUGUGAAAAUGCAGACCCGCGGGGCAGGAAUUCCGAGUCCAGGCUGGAGCGCGAUCUGGAAUCUGACUCGCUGGAAACAGCACCGCGGUGGAUUCGGACCUGGCUUCCCUUGUCAGUCACGCAGCUGAAAGCAGGAAGAAGCUUUCUCUUCUGCACUUGGAACAACAAGGUGAAGAUGACAGAGAGUCCCACAUCUACCAUGGAAAAGGCAAUGGUCCCUAAAUCAUGCCAAGUUUUCUAAUGACAUGUGUUUUCCCGCAACAUGUAACUAUAUGUCCUCCCUUCAAGCACCAGUUAUCACAGUACAAACACAGCAACAGCAUAAAGGAAUGACUACUGAGCCUGAAGCUCUGAUGGAUGCUCUGAGUUGAGACUUUGUUUUAUACUUAGGUACCUGUGAGUCAUUGCAGAGUUUUGCCUGACUCCACCAUGACCCAAUUUGAUCAAGGUCUAUAUGCUAUGAGACCUCUCUAGUUCCUCAUCAGAAAUUAUAAUGAAUACCAUGUCCAGCUCCUGAGGUGCCUGAUGGCAACGAGCGGCAGCUCCUCUUGGGGCAACACUUUGGGGGUGACCAAGGCCUCACAGACCUCACUACUGCUGGGCUACAUGGCCCAAGGCUCCUGGGCGCAAUGGAUCGGUGGUCUUGGAUUCGCCUCGGACAUUUAAUGACAUUUGUUCUUGGGCUUUCACAAGUGGUCUCUGGUUGAGAUGGAAGGAAAGGACGCAGGGACACAAAAUCUCUGACUGCCCAGGGACCCCCUCACCGUCCUCACUUCCACUCAAGACGACAUGGCCGUUCCACUAAAUUCCCGAGGACAUGGCCAACAUGAGUAACAACACAGGGAAGUGCCUUACACAGAGUUCCAUGGAAGCCUGGCUAGUACCCUCUAGACCAUUUACCUACACCUGUUGGGAUCUCUCUAGCAUGAAAUGCUCCAGAGGCAGUCAUGCCAUAAGCUUGGAUCCUCCAGCCAUUGAGUGUGAGGGUCUUAGCCCGGUCUAAAUGAGCACUGAAUUCUAGAGAGACCAAGGGACUGUCUAAGUUCUGAAUUCUGAGUCCUGAAUCCUGGAAGUUGGCUUCUGGCCAGGGAGCAGGUGUUACUGCCUCUGAUCCACAAAAGCAGCCCCACAGCUCAAGUUGCUCUUCUGGAUUUCUCCCCUCUCCUGGUUCCUGGCCAGGCAAAUCUUCACUGCUUUGUUAGCCCAUCCAUUUGCUCAACCAGAUUUUUCAAAUAUGUAUGUUUUCCUCCUUUUCCCAUUGUACUCAGUGGAAGGAAUGGUCUAAAUUACCUAAUCAGCAAUUCCUGGAAACCAAGCCACCAUGUACAUACAAUCUUAUACGUUAAUGUCACAUACAAGAAAGAAAAUGCAGAGGUACCAGUAGUGGCUACCUAAGCAGUGUAAUGUAGAGGUAAUAAAAACGAAUUGUUGGAUAGUAUCUAUCUAUGCCAUGAGUAAAAUACAUAUCAAUAAAUUACAACUUCUAAGAAAAUAAUCUCUAUAUGUAAUAUAUGACUAUGACUCUGAUAGACAAACCUCGGAGUAUUGUCUGAAGACACUUCUCAUCACCUUCACCUCAUGAGCCAGAUGGUGUGAAAUGAGGAGCAGAGAUUUGAAAUGUGUGGCAAGCCUCUCUGCAAAGCAGCAGAGUAACAUUCUACAUGAGCGAAUCAAAGCAAUCUCACAAAUGACAUUGGAUGUGCGGUGUGGGAUGUGUGUCCUUAUUAUAAUGGAGUUAAUCCUUUAAGUAGGUAAUCCUUUUACAUGAACUGGAUUCUAAAUGACUUAUUAGCUAUCAAUUAGCCAGGAAUUUUUCCCUUUACUAAAAGAGAGACCCUGCCAUGAACCAGCAUUUCCCAGGUGGAGGUCUCUGGCAGACAUCAACUUCUAACAGGGUAAAUGUCCUGUUUCUUUAGUCAGGGAAAACUGACUUUCACAAGUGGUCUCUGGUUGAGGGAUCCCAUUUUGAGUGGGGCAUUUGCCAAGUCACUUCUCCCUGUUCCUGCUGGGGCUGGGGAUGAUGAACCGAGUGAAGACACAAACUCUGAGAGGGAACCAGGCAGACAGGCAGACUGACAAGGAGGGCACUGCCUGGUCUAGUUACCAUUCGCACCCAGUCAGAAGAGGUGAAGGGUGAGAGAGGAGGCUGCUGGGAACUGGAAUAUUAGCAGCCAGGAAGGCCAAGAAAGUGCAGGCUGACAGUAUAGGCCAGAGGCUGGAGACCCUGGGAGGGAGCUUUGUUGUUCCCUCUGAGCCCCAGGGUGCAGGAGAGGGUCCUUUUCACCAGGGAGCUUCAGCCUUCAGGAUGAUUUCUGGGCUCUGCACUCCACUGAUCCUCCAUGAGGACUUUAAACAGCAAGAUGAGGUACCCAGGGCCCUAGGAAUCUGAUUCUCAUAUACCCUGAAAUACCUUUACUAAAAAUAUCAUCCCUAUGUUUUGCUUAUUUCUUAUAACAUAUAAAACAUUAAGCCAAACCACUGUACAGAAUUUAUUAAUAUGUAGAUAUGAGGUGUCUGGUGACAGAUCCUCCAAGUUAUUUAUAUCAGAGGAAGAAAGUGGUCUGGCUGCAUUCACAGAUGAGAACAGCAGGGUAGCAACACUCAGGACCAUGACACUGGGUGCUCCCAACCCCGAAGGGAAGCAUCUCACUGUACACAGAUGGCCAGGAGAGUGAUCACAGGGUCCUGUGUUAUCUCCUCCUCCUCCUCUCCUGGGUCCUGGGCUUCACUUCCUAAUCUCAGCUGGUAGCAAAAUUAACUUGGUAUUCAAGACCCUUAUGGCCCCUCUUCACCAUAGCAUCUCAUCAGGUCUCUUUCCUCAUAAGAAUUUCAGCACAGGGGUGUACUCUAGAAAUAUCACCAUGGAAGGGGUGGCAGAGGCAGCUCAUCUCUAACUCCUCAAAUAGAGAGGAUGGAGCCACAGUCCUGUGCCUCACCCAUCCCAUGGUCCUGCCUCAAAUACAGUCUCCUCCUGCAGGCUGCUGGGUCCUCUUUAUUGUCAUUCUCCAGAUGGUGACAGGGUCCCAGGCAGACGUGCUCACAGCUUCCUUGGGGCCUGAUACCAACAGGAGUUGAGGCCAGGGAGCAGCUUUGGGCUGUAGCGAUCUUUGGAUUUGAAGGUAGGGGAUGGUGAUGGGCUGCCCAUAAUGCUCUAGGUGUAAAGGCUGAGAGUGGCUGAGCUGAAUCUGGUCAUUACCAUGUUCUCCACAGUUUGAGAGCUGCCUUGUGCAGACCAGCAAGACACAGAUAGUUCUCAGCCCCCUUAUAUCUCUGUGGACCCUGACUUUUCUUCCCCCAGCUGCUGUCCUCCCAAGCACAGCCCCGGGAGGAUGUAGGGAGAGGGACCCAUUCCCCUGAUGCCCCAGAACCCCUUUCAUGUAAUCCCAAUAUCCAGGCCUGGGGUCCCCUUCUUUGGAUCGACCUUUCUUUUCUUGGAAUGAAAGGGUUACAGGGUCUCCCUCCCAGAUCUCCACUGUGACUCACUCACCCUAAAUAGAUGUCUUGCUCUACAGUUAUCUUCUGCAUAGUGUUUUCUGAAGAUGUGAUAAAAUAUUAUAAGCCAUUAAUAAAACAUGGAAGUUAGGUUCUCUUUUUGGAUUCUGAGGAUCUGCUGUGCUGGGGCAGGGGCAGGUGGGGAGAGAAGGGCAGGUGGAGGGGCAGGAGCUGAGUGGUGUGUGGCCUCGCUCUGUGCCCAGUAAAGCUCCUGCUGUGGUCAUCUCUUGUGUAUUUGUCUGGAUCCCUCCAUGUGCUGGGAUUUGUGCCUGGUCUUUAGGGGCGGGUGCUGCUCCAGGUCGGAGGCCUCACACAUCUCCAGGCUGAGCCUUUCUCCAAGUCCAUGGAGGUCACGGGCUGAGAAUGGCCAGUCCCACUCCUGCCUUGAGUUUCACUUUAUUUGGCAUAUUUUUAUAUGUUGAUCUGAUCCUUCUCACAAGGGAUGUUUAUGAGCAUUAUUUCAUAGGAGAGCCACUACCAUCCCGCCG